rnacentral:rRNA from 1 species
UACGUAGGGGGCAAGCGUUGUCCGGAAUUAUUGGGCGUAAAGAGCGUGUAGGCGGCCAGGAAAGUCUGCUGUGAAAACUCGAGGCUCAACUUCGAGCUGUCGGUGGAAACUUUCUGGCUAGAGUCCGGAAGAGGAGAAUGGAAUUCCUGGUGUAGCGGUGAAAUGCGUAGAUAUUGGGAAGAACACCUGAGGCGAAGGCGGGUUGCUGGGCUGAUACUGACGCUGAGGCGCGAAAGCCAGGGGAGCAAACGGG